GGUGGCUCAGUGGCAGAGCUCUUGCCUUGCAUGCAUGAGGCCCUGGGUUCUAUUCCUCAGCACCA
rnacentral:tRNA from 1 species